rnacentral:rRNA from 1 species
UAGGGAAUCUUCCGCAAUGGACGCAAGUCUGACGGAGCAACGCCGCGUGAGUGAAGAAGGAUUUCGGUUCGUAAAACUCUGUUGUUAGAGAAGAACAGCGCAUAGAGUAACUGUUAUGCGUGUGACGGUAUCUAACCAGAAAGCCACGGCUAACUACGUGCCAGCAGCCGCGGUAAUACGUAGGUGGCAAGCGUUGUCCGGAUUUAUUGGGCGUAAAGCGAGCGCAGGCGGUCAAUUAAGUCUGAUGUGAAAGCCCCCGGCUCAACCGGGGAGGGUCAUUGGAAACUGGUUGACUUGAGUGCAGAAGAGGAGAGUGGAAUUCCAUGUGUAGCGGUGAAAUGCGUAGAUAUAUGGAGGAACACCAGUGGCGAAGGAGACUCUCUAGUCUGUAACUGACGCUGAGGUUCGAAAGCGUGGGUAGCAAACAGG